AAAUAAGCUUUUGUUUAGUUAUUUUUUAGGGUAAAUUAUAAGAAAUUUUUAUGUAAAUAUUUUUUUUUAUUUUUUUAUUUUUAAAAUUUUAUAUUUUGUCUUUUUAAAAUUUUAAAAAUAUUUUCGAUGGAGAGAUAUGGCAUUAAUAGAGAGGACAAAAUAACCAAAACAUCCUUACUUCUUUUGUAAGAAAAAAAAAACUUUUUAAUAUAUUUCUGUCAUUUUGAAAGAUAUUCUUGGUACAGAUUAUAAGAAAUGGACGAAAUAGUACUGAAAUUCUGACAGAGAAGGAUCAAAAUACAAAAAUUUAAAAUGUUAAGAGAGUAAAAUAUAGAUUUUUAAAAGUUAGGGAGAAAAAGUGUUGAAAUGGAUACUUAGAAAGAAUUUUUUUUGCAAUUUAGCCUAUUUUUUAAGUUAAAGUUGUUUGUGAAAAACCACUAAUAAUAUAUUAUUUAAUAAUACUAUUCAGAUAACACAUUAUCAAACAAUACUAUACAAUAAGAGACAUGGGGCGUGUUUGCUUGAUAAUAAAUAUUCAUUUUUAUUGUUUGGUUUACUGUAACUCAGUUUUCGAUCGAAACUCAGACUCUCCAAAAUACCAUAGAUGACUUCGGACCGUCAGUUAAAAAAACCAAAAAGAAAAAUAAAAUGAGAAAACAAUAAUAAAAUAUUAAUUAUCUUUUACUUCUCUAGCUUUUAUGUGAUUUCUUUAGUUCUAAAGUUAUACAAAGAAACAACAAAAGUAAAAUAAUUUUUAUUUAAACACUAAUUCAUCAAUAAGCAGGCCUAUAAACUUCUUAAAUAAAUUUUAAAAAAAUUCUAAAGGGAAUAAUUGCCAACAUGGUAAACCAGGCCCUCACAUAUUACCAAACCCUACAAAAAAACACACACUCAUGCAUAGUUUUUUUUUUUUUUUUUUUUUUUUUUUUUUUUUUUUUUUAUAAAAAGAGUUUAAGUUAUUUAUAGAAACUUUACUUUAUAAUAUAAGUUAUAAUAUUACUACUCAAAUAAUAUUAGACUUAUAGUUAUAAUAUCACUACUCAAACAAUACAGGAGAAGAUGUGCAUUCGGUCUGGAAUAGAUGGAUAGAAAGGCGGGGUCUCAACCAAAAUUUAUUUGUCUUAUUAGACUUGUAGCCUGCUGAUGGGUUAUUUGGGAUAUUAGGAAUAGAGCGAUUUUCAGAAUAACCUACACAGACCCGACCCUCGAAAUCUACAAGAUUAAUCAGCUGACGAACCUAUGGGAGAAACUCAGUCCAGUGGAGCGACAUAACAGUAAUCAAUAGUGUUGGCCAGUGUCGGCCAGUGUGUGUUGGCCUAAUCUUUUUUUUUUCUCGCCACCUUUUGAGAUUUGUGAUGCCUCACCCAUAUUGCUUAAUUUACUAUUUGAAUAAAUGAAACAAAUAGCGUGCUAUAUUUUUCUUAAAAAAAAUAUUUUAUUGAAUAAUACUGUACUGUCUAACGCACUGGAUGAGUCUGUUCGUGGUGUCUACACAGUUCUUAGAAAGGAAAAGAAAAUUUUUAAAAAAUAAAAAAUUCAUC
rnacentral:lncRNA from 1 species